AAACGCAAAAGUUCGUGUUUUUCAGGACGGCAUUUUGCUAUAGCAAGUGUCAUGGCGUGAGCAUGAGGGAAAUUUUAGGACACAAAGUCCUAUCAGGUUACACAUCUGGUACAUACUUCAUCUGUGACUCGAUAGUCCAUUCAAGAGUCUACUCGAUCACAGAAUAGAUACCAGACCAGAAGGGACACUCCUAUGUGUUUUGGCUUGGGAAAAACGUCGGAAAUUUUUUAAUUGCUAUGACGCCAUCCUGGAGUGCACACGGCACUUUGUACCUAUGUUUGGCCUGUGAAAAACUUCCGUGUGUACUCCAGGAUGGCGUCAUACGAUGGCGUAUUUUCACGUCAGCAUUCGUAAAAUUACGGACAAAAUAUCGUGUGAUCAGAGUGACACUUCUGGUCGCAGACAUGUAUCUAUUCUGUGACUUGAUAGUCCACUGACGAAUUUGAUUUGCGCACGCCCUUUUAUACUAACGGUUGAAGGGAUCUUUGUACACGUGAUCGGACGAGUGGUGUGAUUUGUAUCCAGCCAAUCAACAUUGAGUUAUAAAAGUGUGGGUUGGCAUUGCUACAGUAGCUUGUUCCAGACGUUGUCGCCUGGUCAAGUCGAUUCGCUGUUCAAUCGAUUAAGGUUAAAAUAUGUUCACAACUUAAAAUACUUAUCAAAAUAUCAUAGUAAAAUCUUCAAACUAUACCUAUGUGAACUUUACUUUACUUACUAAACUAAAUUUACUUACAAUUUUAUCGAACACAGAUUUUGAUGACGUAAUAUUUUAAUUGCAUGACCGAGUGUUAUCUAUAGCUUGGGAUGACUCAUCUUUAUGCCUAGAGCCUGCAUGUCCAUGUAAAAGGUAUAUGUUCAUGAGACUACAGGCAGCUGCUUUCUUUUUAAAACAAAUCUGCCCACAAGAUAAACUAUAUGAGGAAACAGGUCAAUCAAAACAUGACAUCUUCACAUAUACAACGGCGGCUAUUCUAACAAACAGUCAUAUCCAAAUGGAAGAAAUAAAUGAACGUUUUCCGAAAAACCGAAAUAUUGACUUUACUUUGAUUUGUGGCAAAAUAGCCAUUAUCUCUUGUCAUUAUGCUCAAGAUAAUAUUUGCUUGCACAAACAUUUCACCUGCUCUCAAGCAAACAUACUUUGUUAUUUUAUUUUAUUUUUACCUAAAAUUUUAUGUAUAAGUGAUAGUGUUUCGUGAGCAAGAUUCAGGCACACUCGGAUAUCCUACAACCGAAACCUGAAAUUGAAAGCCAAGCUAAAGUUGGACAAGAACUUGAAAAGACAUUUCAAA